GCUGCUGAGCCGUUGCUCAGGCAACUGAGGGACUGGUCCACCUGUAACAGCUGGUAACUCACCAGCCCAAAAGGUGUAGGGUUCCUUAAGCCAGGGUCUCGCUCGGAUCUUGUAUCUUCACAUCGCCUCUAAGUAGUAACUCUGUUAACGGCUGUUUGUUCAGAAAGUUGGAAAUACAAAACGAAGGAGUCAGCGGGGCUGCAUUCCUUCUGAAGACCUGAGGAGAAUCCUUUUGAUGAAUGCUAGCUAUAUGCAAAAUCUUGGAUUUGCGUAUGACUUCAAGAACAUCUACCAGCACUGUAUGAGAGAGAAAAAGCCAGCCUCCUCAAAUAACUUGGCUUAAACAAGCUAUUUAUGUGCAGAGAUAUUCAGACUGGACACAGCUAUCACUUGUGGCCUCUAAAGAGAAGAAUGACUACCCGUAUGCUUAGGGUUUUGAGCUUCAAAGGGCUCCAGCCAGACUACAGACUGUGAAAAUGGGUGUGGAGUCUCUUGUUAGUAGAGUUUGGAUUCCUCAUAAAUUCACCAGAUCAAGAAUUGCAGAUAAAUUGUUUUAGCCUAUACCCGAAGAUCAUGAAAAAUAUGGUUGGAACACCCAGAACCCUCAUAAACUGCACAUUCUUACAAGAAUAAGAAAUACAAGAAAAGACUAUGAUCAAGAUGUCCGGACUACAGAAGGCACACAGCCCUCAAAUUCACAAGAACAUCCUGUUGCCAAUGCAAGUGAAAGAGGUUAAACGCAUGAUAUGCAUCCAGCCCUGAAGCUACCACAGGGUCUUCCCACAGAAGAGAACAUAUCCAGCCUGUG